AAUUGAGUUUAAAUUAACCAGAAAAGAUAUAAACGUAAUCUUUGGGAUUCAACUUGUAAGGAUGUUCCAAGAACCACUUAGUUGGAGAAGGAAAACUGUGCCGUUCAUUAACAAGUCCCGUGCUUUAUAAUAUAUAUAAAGAUGGUAAGGACGUGAAGAAAACAGGUUUGUAAAUGAUGUUGUACAUCAUGCAGAUAGCUCAGAAGAAGAAGUAAGUUUUUUUUUUAAUUAC
rnacentral:lncRNA from 1 species